rnacentral:misc_RNA from 1 species
GAUCCGACCAUCCUGAUCCAAAUCAGCUCGCCGAAAAUAGGCGUCAAAUUGAUCCAUAUUCGGACUCUGAUUCUGUGCAGCCAUUAGUCAAUUGAGAUAUCUUCCCCCGAUUGAUUGCGGUUCUGAAUUAGAUCUGUGGGUAAAGCAAUCGUUAUCGAAUCAUUUAUAGCAAAGUUUGAUCUAAAAACUCAAAGGGUUUUAGAAUGUCAGCCGACGGCGACUUGCCGGUGCCGGAGGCUAGAG